UACGUAGGGUCCGAGCGUUGUCCGGAAUUACUGGGCGUAAAGAGCUCGUAGGUGGUUUGUCGCGUUGUUCGUGAAAACUCACAGCUCAACUGUGGGCGUGCGGGCGAUACGGGCAGACUUGAGUACUGCAGGGGAGACUGGAAUUCCUGGUGUAGCGGUGGAAUGCGCAGAUAUCAGGAGGAACACCGGUGGCGAAGGCGGGUCUCUGGGCAGUAACUGACGCUGAGGAGCGAAAGCGUGGGGAGCGAACAGGAUUAGAUACCUGGUAGUCC
rnacentral:rRNA from 1 species